ensembl:lncRNA
GUACAGAUACAGGUGCAGAUACAAGUACAGAUACAGGUGCAGAUACAGAUACAGACACAGGUACAGAUACAGGUACAGAUACAGAUACAGGUACAGAUACAGAUACAGGUACAGGUACAGAUACAGAUACAGGUACAGAUACAGGUAUAGACACAGGUGCAGAUACAGGUACAGAUACAGGUAUAGACACAGGUGCAGAUACAGAUACAGGUGCAGAUACAGAUACAGGUACAGAUACAGGUGCAGAUACAGAUACAGGUGCAGAUACAGAUACAGAUACAGGUACAGGUGCAGAUACAAAUACAGGUACAGAUACAGAUACAGGCAUUGUGUUAUACCUUGAAAAGGCACACAAUUUUCAUAGAUUCAGUGUCUAUGUGUGUUACUGUGUUGUCCAGUUUGAAAUCAGCAAAAUACUGUGCUACUCUCUUAUUUGUAACACUGGUUGUAAAUUGCCCAAUUCCCACUGAAUGCAGGCAUGAUUGUGAACAUGUCCUUAUCUUUGGGUAAUGAGCUGCUGCCGUUGAUGUGUCCCUGUCUUCCCCCAACCCUCCUGCUCUUUCUCAACAUUUCCCCCUCCUCUCCAAAAAUGGAGACAGGGGGCUGCUAAACCGGGUGGUUCAUCCUGUUUGCUCAUUAUCGCACUGGGUUCAUUGCCAAUAAUAAAGAUUUCUCAGGCUGCAAGACUUUUGAAUUUAGAAGAAAUUAUAUUGAGCAACAGGGAGCCUGUGGCUCUAAAUGUUUAAUUAGAGCUGAUAAAAACAAGGGGAUCAAUCACUGGCAGUGAUCAGGACCUGCGAGUAAAGAGCUGCAGUCGACUCCAUCAUCAGCAGUUGGGUUGACUUAGGUCCCUACAAAUAGUGCCAUAUGCUGUGACAUAGCAGAGAUGACAGUAAUGUCCAGCUGUAGGAUGUUUGCUGAAAAGCUCUUUCACAGAUACACAGAAUGCAUAACACAAGUGGGUUUUCUGCACUCUAUGUGGCAAGUACAACCAAAUGGGGGAAUAUAAUAUAAACAUAGCAAAAUCUCUACUGGCUCAAGUAACAAUAUUGUGUUAUCUGACUGUAAGCCUUCAGGAUCAUAGGUCAAACUACAGGUGUUGUCCAGUCUGGGAUAAGUAGCUAGAUGUAUGUAUGUUCAUUUAGAAAUCAUUAAUCACUUUGUACCAUAUAACUAAAAAAGGCAAAAUAAUUUAGUAAGAAAUCUGUUGAAUACAGCACCAGAAAAUAAAUCAA